rnacentral:rRNA from 1 species
AAACUAACAAGGAUUCCCCUAGUAACGGCGAGUGAAGUGGGAAAGCUCAACUUUGAAAUCUGGUACUUUCAGUAUCCGAAUUGUAGUCUCAAGAAGUGUUUUCUGUGCCGGUCCAUGUAUGAGUCUGUUGGAACACAGCGUCAUAGAGGGUGACAACCCCGUUCAUGACAUGGAUCCCGGUGCUUUGUGAUACACUCUCGAAGAGUCGAGUUGUUUGGGAAUGCAGCUCAAAUUGGGUGGUAAAUUCCAUCUAAAGCUAAAUAUUGGCGAGAGACCGAUAGCAAACAAGUACCGUGAGGGAAAGAUGAAAAGCACUUUGGAAAGAGAGUUAACAGUACGUGAAAUUGUUGAAAGGGAAACGAUUGAAGUCAGACGUGCGUGAUGCGGUUCAGCUCUAGUUCGCUAGAGUGUACUCCGUAUCUUUGCAGGCCAACAUCGGUUUUGUUAGUCGGAUAAAGGUUUGAGAAAUGUGGCACCUUCGGGUGUGUUAUAGUCUCAGACUGAAUACGAUUGAUGGGACCGAGGAACGCAGCGCGCCGCAAGGCAAAGUUCCGACCUUUCGCGCUUAGGAUGUUGGUGAAAUGC